rnacentral:lncRNA from 1 species
GAAAAUGAAAAUAGUAAUUCAAAAUAGUGUAAGCCGAGUGCAGUGGCACAUGCUGGAGUGCAGUAGUCACAGCUACUUGGGAGGAUGAGGUGGGAGGAUCACUUGAGCCUAGGAGAUCAAAUGUAACCUGGGUAACAGAGUUAAACCCCAUCUCAAAAAAAAAGUGUAAGUCUUAAUUCAUACUGAAAAUAGUUUUAAUGUUUUCUUAAGCUGAAUGAUCUACAUAAGUAAUCAUAUACAGGUAAUAAUGUGGCAAAGUGAAAUGAUUUGAUUACAGAAAUAAAUCUAAUUCCAGGAUUUAAGGAUGUAGAGUUGCAAUUACAUAAGCUAUACCUGACACCACUUCAGCAUCACACAUAUUUAUCACCCGGUUUAGCUGUUCUGCUGUGAAUGCAUUAUGGAAAAGGUAGCCAAGUUUUUUGGUCUAGGAAUACUUUCUUCUGGAACAUGGCCUUCCUCUAGCUGAAUAUAGCAGAAGACCCCAGCUAGGUUCACUGAUGGGUCUUUCUAUAAUAGCAAUCUAUUUCCAUUAUGAUUCUCAGGCCCAGCCAAGGCCACACACAUUCCAAAUCUAUACUCUCAGGUCUUCCUAGAAUUUAUAUUCUCUGCAAAUUCAAGGAAUUAAUCAUAGUGUCUUUCAGCUUUUUCUCAGAAUUUUCCCAAAGUUAAAUCACUGUUAAUAAAACAUACGUUCUUCACAGAGAGUAAAUCCAACAGUUUGUAGAGAGACAGCUCUUCAGGGUGAUUUUCUUCUCUUUCUUAGUGGCAUCCCGGGGGAUUUACUUCCAUUAUCAUCUGAGCACAAAAGAGGAUCAAAAAUUUUGGCCACCGUUUAGCUCUAUUUCCUGGUUUAACUACUUUUUUUUUUUUUUUUAACCAGACUUAAAAGAGAUGGUUCUUUGGGGAGAGGGGAUGGUACAAGAAGAAUCACAAAUUUUCAUUAAAAUCCCUGAUAAUAAUUGGCUGUAUUUAUACAUUUCUGGUGAUUUAUAAUUUUCAGAAAGCUUUCAUGUUAAUUCUUUUAAUCCUCCCAAAAAUCCUAUGAGGUUGGUGUUCAUAUAUGCCCUAUUUUACCAAAAGAAAACAAAACAAAAAACUAGGAAACUUAGAGACACGGAGUAGCAAUCCAAGCUUACAGAACAGUUGUUUGCCUCCACUGUCCCCACUUCUCACUGCCAUUCUGAUUUCCAGUUCCAACCCAUGGAAACUUGUGCUUGGGCUCCUACCACUUGACUAAAACUACUCUCAACAAGGUCUCCAGUAACCUCUUUGUGGGACCCUUUCAGUCCUUAUCUACCCAGACUAUCAUCAGCACUUGACUUUGUGGACCACACCCUUGCUUAGUUUCUGGGACACUACACUCAUUUAUUUUUUUUUUUCUCUUGCUUAAUCUGUUUCUCUUUUAAGGACUCCACUUCCUCUAUCUCAGAGCUUCCCAACAAACAGGAAACAAAGAGAUAUUGUUUCACCCAUGUGGGACCUGGAAGUACAGAACCUUAUAGCUGAUUGCUAUCAUUAGAAGCAUUUUUAUUUUGUGUUCCUGUGAUGGUCAUCCAAGAAAAGUGGAUCUGAAAGUGUGCCUCCCUCCGUCCCAGCAUCAUAUGGCACUCACUGUUCUAUUGAGUAGAUCUGGGAGAGGCCAAGUUGGACAUCAACUUUGGUAGCCCAAAGAGGAGAGUGCACAGCUCAAGAUACAACUGCCUGUGCAGGGGAAGCCAGGUAGGGGUUCUUUCCUAUUGGAGCUGCAAGCAGGAUAAAAUUCUGUCUUCAAAUAUA